rnacentral:rRNA from 1 species
GCUCAGGAUGAACGCUAGCUACAGGCUUAACACAUGCAAGUCGAGGGGCAGCAUGGUCUUAGCUUGCUAAGGCCGAUGGCGACCGGCGCACGGGUGAGUAACACGUAUCCAACCUGCCGUCUACUCUUGGACAGCCUUCUGAAAGGAAGAUUAAUACAAGAUGGCAUCAUGAGUCCGCAUGUUCACAUGAUUAAAGGUAUUCCGGUAGACGAUGGGGAUGCGUUCCAUUAGAUAGUAGGCGGGGUAACGGCCCACCUAGUCUUCGAUGGAUAGGGGUUCUGAGAGGAAGGUCCCCCACAUUGGAACUGAGACACGGUCCAAACUCCUACGGGAGGCAGCAGUGAGGAAUAUUGGUCAAUGGGCGCAGGCCUGAACCAGCCAAGUAGCGUGAAGGAUGACUGCCCUAUGGGUUGUAAACUUCUUUUAUAAAGGAAUAAAGUCGGGUAUGUAUACCCGUUUGCAUGUACUUUAUGAAUAAGGAUCGGCUAACUCCGUGCCAGCAGCCGCGGUAAUACGGAGGAUCCGAGCGUUAUCCGGAUUUAUUGGGUUUAAAGGGAGCGUAGAUGGAUGUUUAAGUCAGUUGUGAAAGUUUGCGGCUCAACCGUAAAAUUGCAGUUGAUACUGGAUAUCUUGAGUGCAGUUGAGGCAGGCGGAAUUCGUGGUGUAGCGGUGAAAUGCUUAGAUAUCACGAAGAACUCCGAUUGCGAAGGCAGCCUGCUAAGCUGCAACUGACAUUGAGGCUCGAAAGUGUGGGUAUCAAAGAGGCUUAGAUACCCUGGUAGUCCACACGGUAAA